rnacentral:lncRNA from 1 species
CUAGGGAUGGGUAGGUUGGAGGUUGCCUUUACUCCCGUGGGUCCCAUCUCGCUUCUCAUUCUGUGCAGGAGGAUCCUUUGUGAGGUUGGCUGUAGAGGUGGGGGUCUGGCCCAUCAGCCUACCCUCCUGCUUACCCAGAGAAGCUAACAUUUAAUGGUACUCAUGAUGCGGGAGGCUCUGAGUGUUCAUGUUAUAUAUCCUCUCAACUGUCAAGUCCUCACUGCAGUUCUGUGGGGCUGAUGCUGUUCUUAUCCUGGCUUACAGAAGAGGAAACCGAGGUAUGGAGAACUUAAGGAACUUUCUGUAAGACUCACGGCUAGUGGAUAGGACCAUGAGGCUGAAUGCCUGGGCAGAUGUUAGGUCUCCAUCCUUGGCUACAAUGUGUUUGCUCAGUGAUGUGGAGGCUUGGAGAGGGCCAAAUAGGGGGACUUCCUGAUCUUCCUAACUUGGCAAGUUAUCCAACUUUCUUUAGCCUCCUGGGAUUUAUUUGAUUCUGGGUAGUGGAGAGGGGGCCGUAGAUUUUACCCAGUUAGCUGGCUCUAACAACCUUGAUUCCCGAUUUCCACGCCUGCGUUCUGGGGCUUUCCUUUUCUUGCUUUGAACAAAC